UACAGAGGCCUCGAGCGUUAGGCGGAAUCACUGGGCUUAAAGCGUGUGUAGGUGGAUGCCUAAGUACCUUGUGAAAUCCCACAGCUUAACUGUGGAACUGCUUGGUAUACUGGGUGUCUUGAGCCACUCAGGGGCUACCGGAACAAGCGGUGGAGCGGUGAAAUGCGUAGAUAUCGCUUGGAACGCCAAUGGUGAAACAGGUAGCUGGGGUGUGCUGACACUGAGACACGAAGCCAGGGAGCAAAGCGGG
rnacentral:rRNA from 1 species